rnacentral:rRNA from 1 species
ACGAACGCUGGCGGCGUGCUUAACACAUGCAAGUCGAACGGAAAGGCCCUGCUUUUGUGGGGUGCUCGAGUGGCGAACGGGUGAGUAACACGUGAGUAACCUGCCCUUGACUUUGGGAUAACUUCAGGAAACUGGGGCUAAUACCGGAUAGGAGCUCCUGCUGCAUGGUGGGGGUUGGAAAGUUUCGGCGGUUGGGGAUGGACUCGCGGCUUAUCAGCUUGUUGGUGGGGAGUGGCUUACCAAGGCUUUGACGGGUAGCCGGCCUGAGAGGGUGACCGGCCACAUUGGGACUGAGAUACGGCCCAGACUCCUACGGGAGGCAGCAGUGGGGAAUAUUGCACAAUGGGCGGAAGCCUGAUGCAGCAACGCCGCGUGCGGGAUGACGGCCUUCGGGUUGUAAACCGCUUUCGCCUGUGACGAAGCGUGAGUGACGGUAAUGGGUAAAGAAGCACCGGCUAACUACGUG